UCCGGUUCUCGUUAGAUCACCGAAGUUAAGCAUCAUUGGGCGCGGUCAGUACUUGGGUGGGUGACCACCUGGGAACACUGCGUGCUGUU
rnacentral:rRNA from 1 species